rnacentral:rRNA from 1 species
AUUGAACGCUGGCGGAAUGCUUUACACAUGCAAGUCGAACGGUAACAGGUCUUCGGAUGCUGACGAGUGGCGAACGGGUGAGUAAUAUAUCGGAACGUGCCCAGUCGUGGGGGAUAACGUAGCGAAAGUUACGCUAAUACCGCAUACGAUCUACGGAUGAAAGCGGGGGAUCGCAAGACCUCGCGCGAUUGGAGCGGCCGAUAUCAGAUUAGCUAGUUGGUGGGGUAAAGGCCUACCAAGGCGACGAUCUGUAGCGGGUCUGAGAGGAUGAUCCGCCACACUGGGACUGAGACACGGCCCAGACUCCUACGGGAGGCAGCAGUGGGGAAUAUUGGACAAUGGGCGCAAGCCUGAUCCAGCCAUGCCGCGUGUGUGAAGAAGGCCUUUUGGUUGUAAAGCACUUUAAGCGAGGAGGAGGCUACUUGGAUUAAUACUCUAGGAUAGUGGACGUUACUCGCAGAAUAAGCACCGGCUAACUCUGUG